GACGAACGCUGGCGGCGUGCUUAACACAUGCAAGUCGAACGGAAAGGCCCUGCUUUUGUGGGGUGCUCGAGUGGCGAACGGGUGAGUAACACGUGAGUAACCUGCCCUUGACUUUGGGAUAACUUCAGGAAACUGGGGCUAAUACCGGAUAGGAGCUCCUGCUGCAUGGUGGGGGUUGGAAAGUUUCGGCGGUUGGGGAUGGACUCGCGGCUUAUCAGCUUGUUGGUGGGGUAGUGGCUUACCAAGGCUUUGACGGGUAGCCGGCCUGAGAGGGUGACCGGCCACAUUGGGACUGAGAUACGGCCCAGACUCCUACGGGAGGCAGCAGUGGGGAAUAUUGCACAAUGGGCGGAAGCCUGAUGCAGCAACGCCGCGUGCGGGAUGGCGGCCUUCGGGUUGUAAACCGCUUUCGCCUGUGAUGAAGCGUGAGUGACGGUAAUGGGUAAAGAAGCACCGGCUAACUACGUG
rnacentral:rRNA from 1 species